UCACUCCCUUGUUCCUUAUCUCUGACAGAUAAGUGGGAUGGGAGGUGACAGGGAGAGAGGUUUGAGACAAGAUAAAAGAAAGGAUAGGAAAGAAAAAAGGGAAGAAGAAGAAGGGACAGGUGGCAGAUAGAUGAGCAGCGGCUUGCACAGCUGGUGAUGUAGGGGAGCUGCUGAAGCUGAGGUUUGCCUGGGGUGCCACACAAGCCAGUGCUGUCACUGGAGAAAAUGCAAAGAGCAGCUACAAAAUGGAUAUGAGGCUCAAAAGAUCUUAGCUAAGAAAGGUGUGACAAACUGAUGCCCCCAACACUAGAGACAAAAAAAAAAAAAAAAAAAAAAAAAAAAAAAAGGCAACAUGAUUAUGAUGUACAAAUUUGUAGAAGGAAAAGAAAAGACUGACAUCAUGGAUUUUGUGGUGCCACAACAAUCAGUACUAAGAAGACACAGUAAAAAAACUAAAUAACUAAAUAAAAAUAAAUAAAUAAAAAAAGUGAGGAAAUAUAGUUUUCCUGACAGAAUAAUGAGCCAAAGGAAUUCACUAACAAAGUUGUGUGUACAAGGGACAUCAAUAGCUUUAAAGAUAAAUAUAACAGAUUAAAUUUAAAAGAUGGGACAUUAUGAGCUUGACUCAAUCCUGUAAAAAUAUAAUUAGAUAAGAACACACUAGAAAACUAGUGUGAUGGAUGAAUGUGUGGGCAUUUACUCCAGUGUAGUUAACCUCCCCAGUAUCAGGAUAUUUCUAGCAUUAUGAUUUUACUGGUGCUGUACAAAUUUUCAUUAAUUUAUUUAUUUUUGACAUAAAACUUAUGUUUAAAAAAUACAAAAAAUAACAAUAACCAUAUUUAUACUCUAUAUGGCAAGGCUGCCAUAUAAAAGUUUUAGAAUUAUUGUGUGGCCAUAGCAGGUUAGCUACAUCAAGCUGUAUCAUCAGUCUAUAUAGCAAAUAAGAAUGAAUAGAAAGUCUUGUAAAAUGAUGCCAUGAAGAAAAUAUCAGACAAAUAACCCAAUAGAGAGGAUGGAGUAGAUAGAGACAACCAGUUUUGGUAAAUGAAAUACACAAUUAUGGAAAUUAUAUGAAAGUAUGACAUAACUCGAGAAAAAUUAACACCCGAUGAUGGACAAAAACUGAUAACUCACUCACCAAAGAACUGGUUGGCAUUGUCUCCAGUGAGCCAUGCUGUCUGUUGGAAGCCUGAUUUAGGAUUCUUUACCACAACUUUUGCCUUGAUAAAGGGACGAACAGUGGAGGUCAGGUGAUGAGGUACCAACCCGUGAUCAUUUUCACAACAUGGUAGUUGUUCUCCUGCAGGUAAAUAACUGACAGUAGAUAAAUGAUACUUUUCAACAUUUCCUAACCUAAUAAUAUCAUACUGUUAAUUUUUCUAGCAUGGUUCAAGUCAAUACACUUCUAAUUUCCUGGUUGAGGAACUAGUUGAGUACUCAAACAAGCUAGAAUAGGAAUGCUUGGAUAGGGAGAGAUGAAAAAGCCUUAUGCCUUGGCCAUCCCCUGGAAUAAUGGUUUCCAAAAUUUGGGUAAAUUACCACCUGUGGGUAAUAGAGCAAAUUUGGGGAGUACUGGAUGGAUGACGGAAAAACUACCAAAGAAUUCUGGAAAACAAGAAAACAUUGCUCUACCUGGCACUAAGAUUAAUAUUAACUUAGUCUCUGCAAGAAGGGAUUCUCAACUGUGCUAGGGAUGAAAAUAAAGAACAUUGCUUGAAUGCUGCAAACAUUGUCAGGUUGGCACUUUCAACCACAAAGCCAUGAAUUUCUCAACUAGCUUCAAGCAUGAAACUCCAUCCAUCUAAUUGACAGAUGAUAAUGAUGUUCUUGACAUCUUUUCAAUAGUAAUUUGAGAUGUAAAAUAUUCAAACACUAUAAAUAAAACUAUCUUCAGUGUUUUAAUGCAGUCAUAUAUAUCAAUAUUGACAUUUUGUAAAGGGGGUAACAUGCUUAAUGUGGCAUGUUAAAUUGGAUAUCAAGCUAAAAAAAAUAAGGAACCAAUGCCCUAAAAGGUUAACCCUCUCUCUCUCUCUCUUUUUUUUACUCAAGAGGGUUAUUGAGA